rnacentral:rRNA from 1 species
ACUCAAAGGAAUUGACGGGGGCCCGCACAAGCAGCGGAGCGUGUGGUUUAAUUCGAGGCUACACGAAGAACCUUACCUGGGGUAGACAUGGCGCUAGUAGGGAAGGGAAACCGGACCGACCCGCAAGGGAGGCGUCACAGGUGCUGCAUGGCUGUCGUCAGCUCGUGCCGUGAGGUGUUAGGUUAAGUCCUGUAACGAGCGCAACCCCUGGGUCUAGUUACACGAUGUCUAGACCGACUGCCCGUGACAAGCGGGAGGAAGGUGGGGAUGACGUCAAGUCAGCAUGGCCUUUAUCUCCAGGGCUACACACACGCUACAAUGGCCGGUACAAUGGGUCGCCAAGCCGCAAGGCGGAGCCAAUCCAGUCAAAGCCGGUCGUAGUUCGGAUUGUGGGCUGCAACCCGCCCACAUGAAGUCGGAGUUGCUAGUAACCGCGCGUCAGCCAUAGUGCGGUGAAUACGUUCCCGGGCCUUGUACACACCGCCCGU